ACAGCAUCGGCGUCUCACUAGCAACGGAACACACAUCCAUCUUGUUUACAGAGCCUGACGCCGUAUAGGAAAUUACUGCUGUAUUCUUCACCCAUCUGCCGAUGGGAAUUUGGAAAGGCGGGAAAUAUCUGCGGGCUGAAAAACGUAUAAAUCACUCCCUCCGCUGGCCGGAAUAUAGCAUGUUUUCUCUCUGAUAACGCUACGGACUGGACACUGACUCAUAGCCAGAGCUGCAGGGACCCCAGGGGCUCCGCCAAUAAACCUCUGCUGCGUUUCCCUUCUUUUUUUCCCGUGUGUUUUCAAUUUCAGCUCCCCGGUUCCCGUACACCGGAGGCCAGGUGGGAUUUUUCAUCGGCCAACGCCGCCUGCAUCACCCACUCCGGGCCCGUGUGACGGCGAUAACUCACACAGGCCAACCGGGCCUGGUUCCCUAGGGAGCCGUCGCGUCACCAAAUGCUUGGCGUCAGACGGCGCCAUCCUGAAUCAGCGGGCAGAAAGCUUGGCCGAUCGCGUUUCCUCGAUGGCGCCUCCUGCUGGAGCAGUCGAAGGUUGCAGCCAUCUGGGCCUGAGCUAACAGAUCAUCAACUGGACCCAGACAUCCGGACCGCGAUGGCGCCUCAUGAGCGGAUCCAUAUGUUGGCGUGAUGCAGCAUACCGACACGGUUGUCUGCGAUGCCUCUCUCUCCGCCUCCGGCUGCCUGGUGUCCUGACUGUGAUCACUCACCCCCACCUGCUUUCAUCCACCCAGCCCACCUUUACUUUUAUAUUUGCUGUCUUGGAUCCGGCAUCGGCCAGGUGUUGCGCUUCCUCACCCUCUCUGACGGGGUUCGGCCACUGCUUUCGGUUUUCCCAACUAUUGGAACCUGUAUUCUGGUUCACCACUACAUCUGGGGAAAAGACUAUAAAAUCAACUUCACCAGGACUAAUAAAAAGACGCCAUGCUGAGUAAAACUUGACGGAUCGAUCGACCCUCAUUGGGGCAUUGUCAAAGGUCACACGUUACAAAUCUACUCCCUUCGGCAUUAGGCUAAAUUUGACCCCCAGUAAAUUGUGAAUUCUCAUUUGUCCAGUAAGGUUGAGAGAGAGCAUUUACAGGGUGGUGGAGCCUGAAGACAUCAACAAAAAUGUCAAACAGUCAGCCAACCAUGUCCUCAAUGCAAUGGGUCAAGUAAUGAGACCCAACUCCGUGGGAAUUCUGGCUCAAACCUGAAUCCAAAACUCCACCCCAUAUCCAUCAAAGGUCAAAGGUCAGCAAAUCCCUUGGGCCCUAACCUCACAUGAGUGGCCACUCAACCAAUGGGACCAUUUCCCCAGGCCUGUUAUUUUGGUGCUGAUUUCUAGUAGCCCAGGUAUGGAUCACUUGCUCACCGUCAUUAAGGGGAGAUAAUGCGCCUGCACCUUCUCUCAGAGCGGAGUAGAAGAGAUGAAAAAAGGGGAGAGGAUAAAGGGCAGCGAUCCCACUUCUCACAACGACGGUUGGCAUCGUAAUUGCACAUUGGCCAUUAUUCUUAGCAGUACUGCCUCUGCAUUAGCAGGAAACGUGGUCAGGACAUUAAUGCGACUCGACUCAUCUGUUUAAGUGAUUCAUUAAAUUGAGAACUGACUGGAACGCCGGACUGGAUGGAGAACCACAGAAAUCCUGUUAACUUCAGCCUGGCUUUGGAAAAUGUGCCUGUUACUGUGGUUACGGGGUAAUGGCAGAUGCCGAUUCUGAAGGGUUGUUUUGUCGGCCACCGGCUGCUGAGGAUGUUCCAGCCGGCUGGACUCUCCUUCAGUCAGUCGGGGGAGGAUAGUCAGCCCUUCUGAUAACAGUAAGAUAAGUCCCGCCUUUCCCCGAAAGCGACAUGCUGGUCGUCUGCCGUCUGAGAGCUUCCACGACAGGUGAGUGGAUGAUCUUGCUCGCACCACAGCAUGAAAGGAUCAGGGAUUCACAUACUGUAUCUCCACAUAUCUCCACAUAUCUCCAGAUCACUGUCUUCAUAUUCAUCCCCAUCUGUAGACGUGUCAGAAUUUGAGUCACUAAUAAGGUUUUUUAUAUGCAACUAUACUAAACGAGGAACAUUUGAUAAAACAUGUUUAAUCGUCAGCUUAGAGGAAAAAAAUAUAAGUGCAGACCCACAGAGUACAAAAGAAUACCUCUUUAAUCUUCCAAAAGCCACACCUUUGUACCUAGGAUGAUGAUUGAAAUCACAUCCCGUUACCUAAAUAGUUUGUUUACCUGUGUGUUUCUGUGAGUACCUGUUUGUACACCUGUCUGUGUCUGUGAGUACCUGUUUGUACACCUGUCUGUGUCUGUGAGUACCUGUUUGUACACCUGUUUGUACACCUGUCUGUGUCUGUGAGUACCUGUUUGUACACCUGUCUGUGUCUGUGAGUACCUGUUUGUACACCUGUCUGUGUCUGUGAGUACCUGUUUGUACACCUGUUUGUACACCUGUCUGUGUCUGUGAGUACCUGUUUGUACACCUGUCUGUGUCUGUGAGUACCUGUUUGUACACCUGUGUGUGUCUGUGAGUACCUGUUUGUACACCUGUCUGUGUCUGUGAGUACCUGUUUGUACACCUGUUUGUACACCUGUCUGUGUCUGUGAGUACCUGUUUGUACACCUGUCUGUGUCUGUGAGUACCUGUUUGUACACCUGUGUGUGUCUGUGAGUACCUGUUUGUACACCUGUGUGUGUCUGUGAGUACCUGUUUGUACACCUGUUUGUUCACCUGUGUGCACACCUGUAUCUGUGAGCGCGCUGGUGUUCAUAAGGUUUCUCCAUGUAAAUAUCUAGUAGUGUGUGUGGGGAGCCACAGCCCCACCCCCCCAGGACAUGAAGCAGACAUUGAGGAGACCUGAGCCCCAGACAUCCAGAGGCCCCCCAGGGCACGGGAGCCCCCC